UUGGGGUGCUCAGGUGUUUUUUGGGGUGCUUUUCCAGGGAGGAUUAUUUCCGGAUGAAGCUCCAGUGGCGCUCGCUGAGCCCGGGGCAGCUGCGCAGGAACAAAAUCCUCAGCGGCUACCGGGAGCGCAUGGGUGAGAGCCAAAAUCCCCCCAAAUCGCCCAAAAAUCACCCCAAAAAUAUCCCAAAAUCACCCCAAAAUCACUGCAAAGAUCACCCCAAAAUCACCCCAAAAUCACCCCAAAAAUAUACCAAAAAUAUCCCAAAAAUCACCCCAAAAUCACUGCAAAGAUCACCCCAAAAUCACCCCAAAAUCUCCCCAAAAUCACCCCAAAAUCACCCCAAAAUCACCCCAAAAAUAUCCCAAAAAUAUACCAAAAAUCACCCCCUAAUCACCCCAAAAUCACUGCAAAGAUCACCCCAAAAUCUCCCCAAAAUCACCCCAAAAUCACCCCCAAAUCACCCCAAUAUCACUGCAAAGAUCACCCCAAAAUCACCCCAAAAUCACCCCAAAAAUAUCCCAAAAAUCACUGCAAAAUCACCCCAAAAUCACUGCAAAGAUCACCCCAAAAUCACCCCAUAAUCACCCCAAAAAUAUCCCAAAAUCACUGCAAAAUCACCCCAAAAUCCCCCCAAAUCACCCCAAAAUCUCCCCAAAAAUAUCCCAAAAAUCACCCCAAAAUCACUGCAAAGAUCACCACAAAAAUAUCCCAAAAUCACCCUAAAAAUAUCCCAAAAAUCACUGCAAAGAUCACCCCAAAAUCACCCAAAAAUCACCCCAAAAUCACCCAAAAAUCACCCCAAAAUCACCCCAAAAUCACUGCAAAAUCACCCCAAAAUCACUGUAAAGAUCACCCCAAAAUCACCCAAAAAUCACCCCAAAAAACACCCCAAAAUCACCCCAAAAUUACCCCAAAGACACGCCAAAAAUAUCCCAAAAAUCACUGCAAAAAUCACCCAAAAAUGACCCCAAAAUCUCCCAAAAAUCACCCCAAACAUUACCCCAAAAUCACCCAAAAAUCAGCCAAAAAAUAUCCCAAAAAUCACCCCAAAAUCUCCCAAAAUCACUCCAAAAACCACCCCAAAAUCACCCAAAAAUUACCCAAAAAAAUCUCCCCAAAAAUUAUCCCAAAAUCAUCCCAAAAUCACCCCAAAAAUAUCCCAAAAUCACCGCAAAGAUCACCCCAAAAAUCACCCCAAAAUCACCCAAAAAUACCACCCCAAAAUCUCCCAAAAUCACCCCAAAAAUCUCCCCAAGAUCACCCAAAAAAUAUCCCAAAAAUCACCCCAAAAAUACCCCAAAAGUCACCCCAAAAUCAUCCCCAAAUCACCCCAAAAUCAUCCAAAAAUCACCCCAAAAUCACCCAAAAAUCACCCCAAAAAUUUUCCCAAACUGACCCAAAAUUACCCAAAACUGACCCGAAAUGUCCUCAAAAACCCAAAUCUCCCCCAAAAAGUCCCAAAUUGUCCUCAAAUAACCAAAAAUCUCCCCAAAAUGUCCCCAAAUCUCCCCCAAAUCCCCCCAAAAAAAUCCCAAAUGUCCCCAAAAAAAUCCCAAAUGUCCCCAAAAAAUCCCAAAAUGUCUCCAAAAGUCACCAGAAUGUCCCCAAAAAAUCCCAAAUCUCCCCCAAAAAAUCCCAAAUCUCCCCCAAAAUGUCCCCAAAAAAAUCCCAAAAUGUCCCAAAAUUUUCCCCAAAAGUCCCAAACAUCCCCAAAAUGUCCCCAAAAACUGAAAUCUCCCCCAAAUUCCCCCCAAAAAUCCCAAAUGUCCCUAAAAAAUC
ensembl:lncRNA